rnacentral:sRNA from 1 species
CACACGCAGGAUCUGCGGUUCUUAUUGUUAAGAGUCGCUCCGGUGGUUGUAGAGGCAACUACGUCCCUGCGGAGGUUUAACCGGAGAAAGGAAAAAC